rnacentral:rRNA from 1 species
GAUGAACGCUGGCGGCGUGCCUAAUACAUGCAAGUCGUGCGAACAGAUGAGGAGCUUGCUCCUCUGACGUUAGCGGCGGACGGGUGAGUAACACGUGGAUAACCUACCUAUAAGACUGGGAUAACUUCGGGAAACCGGAGCUAAUACCGGAUAAUAUAUUGAACCGCAUGGUUCAAUAGUGAAAGACGGUUUUGCUGUCACUUAUAGAUGGAUCCGCGCCGCAUUAGCUAGUUGGUAAGGUAACGGCUUACCAAGGCAACGAUGCGUAGCCGACCUGAGAGGGUGAUCGGCCACACUGGAACUGAGACACGGUCCAGACUCCUACGGGAGGCGGCAGUAGGGAAUCUUCCGCAAUGGGCGAAAGCCUGACGGAGCAACGCCGCGUGAGUGAUGAAGGUCUUCGGAUCGUAAAACUCUGUUAUUAGGGAAGAACAAAUGUGUAAGUAACUAUGCACGUCUUGACGGUACCUAAUCAGAAAGCCACGGCUAACUACGUG